rnacentral:rRNA from 1 species
UACCAGCUCUCCGAGUUGUAGGGAUGAUUAUUGGGCUUAAAGCGUCCGUAGCUGGCUUAGCAAGUCUCCUGUUAAAUUCAGCGACCUAAUCGUUGAGCCGCGGGAGAUACUAUUAGGCUAGGAGGCGGGAGAGGUCGACGGUACUUUCGGGGUAGGGGUGAAAUCCUAUAAUCCCGGGAGGACCACCAGUGGCGAAGGCUGUCGACUAGAACGCGCUCGACGGUGAGGGACGAAAGCUGGGGGAGCGAACCGGAUUAGAUACCCGGGUAGUCCCAGCUGUAAACUAUGCGGGCUAAGUGUUGGGGUGGCUACGGGCCACUUCAGUGCCGCAGGAAAGCCAUUAAGCCCGCCGCCUGGGGAGUACGGCCGCAAGGCUGAAACUUAAAGGAAUUGGCGGGGAGCACCACAAGGCGUGAAGCUUGCGGUUC